AUCACUAUUGUAGAAUCUAAGAUUGGCCUUUUGAGAUAUCUUUUCAGGAUUUUUGCAUGUCUGACACCAUGACUCCACCCGGACCCACCAGGACCUGCCAACUCCUCCUGUGGCCCCACCCAGAAAUGAUUCAGUGCAAGAGGACAGCUUCAAUCCCCUGAUUUCAUCUCUGACCCAAACAAUCAGCACUUUCCAUACCCUAGCCCCCUGCCCACCAAACUACUUUUGAAAAACCCCUACCCUAUGAGCCUUCAAGGAGAUUGGUCUUCUGUUUGUUUGUUUGUUUUUGUUUUUUGAGACAGAGUCUCUCUCUGUCAGCCAGGCUGGAGUGCAGUGGCACCAUCUCAGCUCACUGCAACCUCCACCUCCUGGGUUCAAGCAAUUCUCACGCCUCAGCCUCCCGAGUAGCUGAGAUUACAGGCAUCCACCACCAUGCCCGGGAUGCCAAGACAGGAGGAUUGCUUGAGGCCAGGUAUUCAAGACCAGCCUGGGCAACACAGACAUUGCAACAUCCCUGUCUUUACCAAAAAAGGAAAAAAUUAGCCAGGCAUGGUGGCAUGCACCUAUGGGCCUAGUUACUCAAGAGGCUGAGGUGGGAAGAUAGCUUGAGCCCAGGAGUUCAAAGUUACAGUGAGCUAUGAUCGCAUCACUGCACUCCACCCUGGGUGACAGAAUAAGACCAUGUCUCAAAAAACAAAGAAACAAACAAACCAGCCUGGGACCUCCUCCCUGCUUUGCUUCCUCCUUCAGCAUGUGUGAUCUCUUUGCACAUGCCGAUUCCCCUUUCACAUUCCACCUUGAGCUGAAGCAGCCUGAGACCCUCACCAGA
rnacentral:lncRNA from 1 species